rnacentral:rRNA from 1 species
GACGUAGGGGGCAAGCGUUGUUCGGAAUUAUUGGGCGUAAAGCGCUCGUAGGCGGGACAGGAAGUUCGUGUUGAAAGACCUCGGCUCAACUGAGGGACCGGCUCGAAUACUCUUGUUCUUGAGGCAAUCAGAGGGUGAUGGAAUUCCCGGUGUAGCGGUGAAAUGCGUAGAGAUCUGGAGGAAUACCGGUGGCGAAGGCGGCCCCCUGGACAAAGACUGACGCUCAGGUGCGAAAGCGUGGGGAGCAAACAGG